CAAAGGAUGCAUUGCAAAGUGUUUUGGUAAGGAUAAGGAAAAAUGUACAAAUAAUUGUGAAUCUCAACCUUGGUGAUAAUUGGUUUUAGCUCGGCUAAAUCAUAUUUUAAAUUUUAGUAAGUAACGAAUAAGAUGUUUCCAACAACAUAGCAUAAUCAGCA